UACGUAGGGUGCGAGCGUUAAUCGGAAUUACUGGGCGUAAAGGGCGCGUAGGCGGCCUGCUAAGUCGAACGUGAAAUCCCUGGGCUCAACCCAGGAACUGCGUCCGAUACUGGUUGGCUUGACUCCGGGAGAGGGAUGUGGAAUUCCAGGUGUAGCGGUGAAAUGCGUAGAUAUCUGGAAGAACACCAGUGGCGAAGGCGGCUCUCUGGGACGGUACUGACGCUGAGACGCGAAAGCGUGGGGAGCAAACAGG
rnacentral:rRNA from 1 species